rnacentral:rRNA from 1 species
GAUGAACGCUAGCUACAGGCUUAACACAUGCAAGUCGAAGGGAAACGACAUCAAAAGCUUGCUUUUGAUGGGCGUCGACCGGCGCACGGGUGAGUAACGUGUAUCCAACCUGCCCACCACUUGGGGAUAACCUUGCGAAAGUAAGACUAAUACCCAAUGAUAUCUCUAGAAGACAUCUGAAAGAGAUUAAAGAUUUAUCGGUGAUGGAUGGGGAUGCGUCUGAUUAGCUUGUUGGCGGGGUAACGGCCCACCAAGGCUACGAUCAGUAGGGGUUCUGAGAGGAAGGUCCCCCACAUUGGAACUGAGACACGGUCCAAACUCCUACGGGAGGCAGCAGUGAGGAAUAUUGGUCAAUGGACGAGAGUCUGAACCAGCCAAGUAGCGUGCAGGAUGACGGCCCUAUGGGUUGUAAACUGCUUUUAUAAGGGAAUAAAGUGAGUCUCGUGAGACUUUUUGCAUGUACCUUAUGAAUAAGGACCGGCUAAUUCCGUGCCAGCAGCCGCCGUAA